UAAGAGUUUACUUCUAUAAAUUAAAGCCUCUGCGUAGGAAUCAAAUGAAGACAAAAGACUUUAAUUUAUAGAAGUAUGUAAAUGAAUGAGAUGAUUUCACAUUAACAUCUCUCAGACAGUUUAACUGCAGGUCCAUAACAGCGAAACAUCAACAGUUACUUAGGGCUCUGAAACUAUCUGUAUAGCUUCUGAUAGUCAUGUAAGUAUUACUCACCCAGCUGUGAGCUGACGGUGGGGUAGAGAAGCUCUGAAGAUAGUAUGGAAGUGGCAGUCCUGUUGAAAUUCGAGGACUCAGAACGUUGACAGAAACUGAACAGCAUCCUGUUUUGUAAGUGCUCAGUGUGUGGAAUGAACUGCCAGAGGAAGUGAAGGAUGUGGGUGGUUACGAUGUUUGAAAAACAUUCAGUAUAAGCGGGAGCAUCAGCGACAGCACUGACAGGGUUCGGCAGCUGCAGAGAGAGGGGGUGGAGAGAUCAGAAUCUGAGAACAAUAGACUGGAAUGUGACAACAAUGGAUCAGAAUCUGAGAACAAUAGACUGGAAUGUGACAACAACGGAUCAGAAUCUGACAACAAUAGACUGGAAUGUUACAACAAUGGAUCAGAAUCUGAGAACAAUAGACUGGAAUGUUACAACAAUGGGCAGGAGUUUAUCCUCGGGUCUUUAUUUUCUUACCGCAUCUUGGCCAACGUUACCACUUCGAAUAGAAGCUGUACUGAUGAUUAUUCAGGCUGGUUACUAUCCCUUUCUCGCUGUUGUUGGUGUUCCUGGUAAGCCUUUCUAUCUCUGUCCAGUCACUACUUCCGCAAGGCAUAUACAACUUUGUUGCCGUUUCUGUGACCUGUAUUUGGAAAAGAUGGAAACAAUUACCUUCAGUUUCAAUUAAAACCUCGCUUUAUUGUCCAUGCAUUUCAGACUCAUCCUUCACAAGCAUCUGAAAACAAGGCUUGUUCACAACAUUGAG